GGCGGACGGGUGAGUAAUACAUAGGAAUCUACCCUGUAGUGGGGGACAAACUGGGGAAACUCAGGCUAAUACCGCAUAAUCUCUACGGAGGAAAGGGGGCUUCGGCUCUCGCUAUUGGAUGAGCCUAUGUCUGAUUAGCUUGUUGGUGGGGUAACGGCCUACCANGGCGACGAUCAGNAGCUGGUCUGAGAGGAUGAUCAGCCACACUGGGACUGAGACACGGCCCAGACUCCUACGGGAGGCAGCAGUGGGGAAUAUUGGACAAUGGGGGAAACCCUGAUCCAGCAAUGCCGCGUGGGUGAAGAAGGCUCGCGGGUUGUAAAGCCCUUUCAGUAGCGAGGAAAAGCUGAAGGUUAAUACCCUUCAGUCUUGACGUUAACUACA
rnacentral:rRNA from 1 species